UGUUAAGUGACAGCACCUGGACAGGAACUCACGUCAGUCUGACAUCAGGGGUUGUACUCAUAUCCUCUGUGAUUCUUCUCACUGCCACCUCACCACUCCCUGCGCUUGAGUCCCUCCCUUCUUAUUUCCUUUCUCCCCAUGGCCACAAGAACAGUAUUAAAAAUAUUUAUAACCAGCAUGGUGUGAGAGUUGGUGAGUCAGCUGAGAUGUCUGACAUAGUUAGUGCAGGGAAGGAUCCUGUAGGCCCCUGGAGAGCCAGAGAGAUGUUGGCCAUUUAGCUUACUGGAAGGACUAUGAAGAUUGAAUCAGGAUGCUCAGGAGCUCAGGACAGCUCCUACUUGCCAACUGUUACACAGUCCUUUUAAUACUUCAAUAGGAGGCGUGGUAAUACUGAUACAGACCAGCUAAGUAUCAGCAAUGAUUGGCUGAACAAAUUAAUAGCAAGAUAGAACUCGGAUCUUACAAAGGAAUGUUUUGCUCUAGACUUUCAACCUGAAAAAAUGUAGAAGAGUUUGUUCAUUGGGGGAAAAGGGAAAAGAGUGGAAGAAUAUGCCAGAGGACUGGAGAUUCCAGGACGGCACUGAGGAGAGCUUCUAGAGUUAACCCACAGUGUCAGGCAAAUGAGCACCAUUAACAAGCCAUUUGAGAAAAAUGAGUCUUAUAUCGUCACUGCUGCUAUUCCUGCCACCAUCUCCAAAGAACCUUGGAUUGCUACGAUAUUUACAGAGAAAAUCACCUUGGACACUCUACCUAUCUCAGCCUGAAGAUCAUGAAGCUGGUGGAUGCUGGCAGUGAUAAACUGAACUAUUACUGCCAGCUCACAUCCUCUUUUCUGGGCAACUUUGCAAUUCCUCCCACAAAAAUAA